rnacentral:rRNA from 1 species
UACGUAGGGUGCGAGCGUUGUCCGGAAUUAUUGGGCGUAAAGGGCUCGUAGGCGGUUUGUCGCGUCGGGAGUGAAAUCCACUGGCUUAACUGGUGGCUUGCUUUCGAUACGGGCAGACUGGAGGUAUGCAGGGGGAGAACGGAAUUCCUGGUGUAGCGGUGAAAAUGCGCAGAUAUCAGGAGGAACACCGGUGGCGAAGGCGGUUCUCUGGGCAUUACCUGACGCUGAGGAGCGAAAGUGUGGGGAGCGAACAGG